GUCAUGUAUCAAGCUCAUUUUGUUGUUUACAUUUUUCUGUUUUUCCACUCACUGACAAGGGUUUCCAUAUGCAUCUUGUUUGCUGUUUCUACUAGUUGCAGGCACGGAAACGUUGGGCUUCCAGCACUCAGCCCCAUAGGGAUCCUACUCAGGCUGGCCUCGUGAACAAAUCACUGCUGUCUCCUAUGACAGAAGCCCUGCCCUCUCUGAGGACUUCCUAUUGGAAAGUGAACCAGUCUGAAUAUGUGAAGCACUUAGCACCUGGGACUCAUGGGGAAGAAGAUAAUCCUCUGGGUUGUGAUGACAGGAUGAAGACACCGCAGAGGCCCAGAGACUCUGUUAGCUUACAGGGUUUUACGUACUCCAUGUUUGGCUAUGUAUAACCAAGAAUGAUCCUGAACUCCUGAUUCUCCUGCUUGAUACCUUCGGAGCGCUAUUGUUUUAAC
rnacentral:lncRNA from 1 species